rfam:Medicago truncatula strain A17 chromosome 8, whole genome shotgun sequence.
GCACUAUGAUGAUUGAUUUUAUUGUCAUAUGAUAUUUUAUAUGAUUAAAAAAUCCUCCUACUCAUUCUGA